UACGUAGGUGGCAAGCGUUGUCCGGAUUUACUGGGCGUAAAGAGCGCGCAGGCGGUCGUUCAAGUCGCGUGUGAAAGCCCCCGGCUCAACUGGGGAGGGUCACGCGAUACUGAUCGACUCGGAGGCAGGAGAGGGUAGUGGAAUUCCCGGUGUAGUGGUGAAAUGCGUAGAUAUCGGGAGGAACACCAGUGGCGAAGGCGACUACCUGGCCUGUUUCUUGACGCUGAGGCGCGAAAGCUAGGGGAGCAAACGGG
rnacentral:rRNA from 1 species